rnacentral:rRNA from 1 species
GGGUUGUGAGGUUAAGCGACUAAGCGUACACGGUGGAUGCCCUGGCAGUCAGAGGCGAUGAAGGACGUGCUAAUCUGCGAAAAGCGUCGGUAAGGUGAUAUGAACCGUUAUAACCGGCGAUGUCCGAAUGGGGAAACCCAGUGCAAUUCGUUGCACUAUCGUUAACUGAAUACAUAGGUUAACGAGGCGAACCGGGGGGAACUGAAACAUCUAAGUACCCCGAGGAAAAGAAAUCAACCGAGAUUCCCCCAGUAGCGGCGAGCGAACGGGGGAGCAGCCCAGAGUCUGAAUCAGCUUGUGUGUUAGUGGAACGGUCUGGAAAGUCCGACGGUACAGGGUGAUAGUCCCGUACACCAAAAUGCACAGGCUGUGAACUCGAAGAGUAGGGCGGGACACGUGGUAUCCUGUCUGAAUAUGGGGG